GGUGGAGUGGCUCAGCUAGUAGAGCAUGAGACCCAUAAUCUUAGAGUUGUGGGUUCGAGCCCCACUUUGGGCA